AGUGGCGAAAGGGUGAGGAAUAAAUAGGUAACGUACCCUGAACUUCGGGAUAGCGUCUGAAUGCUUCGGCAUUCUACCGAAAGGGGCAUUAAUACCGAAUAACGCCCCCGUACAUAAGUGCGGUGGCCAAAGAUUUAUCGGUUUGGGAGCGGCCUAUUUCCUAUCAGCUAGUUGGUGAGGUAACGGCCCACCAAGGCUUUGACGGGUAGCGGGACUGAGAGGUUGGCCCGCCACAUCGGGACUGAGACACUGCCCGGACCUCCACGGAGGGCUGCAGUAACGGAUAUUGGGCAAUGGGCGAAAGCCUGACCCAGCGACGCCACGUGUAGGAAGAAGCCCCUCGGGGUGUAAACUACUGUCAGGGGUUAGAAAGUCCGGGUUCGCCCGGAUUGAUCGGCCCCAGAGGAAGUCACGGCUAACUUCGUGCCAACAGCCGCGGUAAUAC
rnacentral:rRNA from 1 species